rnacentral:sRNA from 1 species
UGCAUUCGAUGAUGAUUAAUGCGCGGGAU